UACGUAGGGGGCAAGCGUUGUCCGGAUUAUUGGGCGUAAAGAGCGUGUAGGCGGCCAGAUAGGUCGGUUGUGAAAACUGGAUGGCUCAACCUCCAGACGUCGACCGAAACCAUCUGGCUAGAGUCCGGAAGAGGAGAGUGGAAUUCCUGGUGUAGCGGUGAAAUGCGCAGAUAUCAGGAAGAACACCCCGUGGCGAAGGCGGCUCUCUGGGACGGUACUGACGCUGAGACGCGAAAGCGUGGGGAGCGAACAGG
rnacentral:rRNA from 1 species